rnacentral:rRNA from 1 species
GGGUAGCUUGCCACCUGACCUAGCGGCGGACGGGUGAGUAAUGCUUAGGAAUCUGCCUAUUAGUGGGGGACAACAUUCCGAAAGGAAUGCUAAUACCGCAUACGCCCUACGGGGGAAAGCAGGGGAUCUUCGGACCUUGCGCUAAUAGAUGAGCCUAAGUCAGAUUAGCUAGUUGGUGGGGUAAAGGCCUACCAAGGCGACGAUCUGUAGCGGGUCUGAGAGGAUGAUCCGCCACACUGGGACUGAGACACGGCCCAGACUCCUACGGGAGGCAGCAGUGGGGAAUAUUGGACAAUGGGCGAAAGCCUGAUCCAGCCAUGCCGCGUGUGUGAAGAAGGCCUUUUGGUUGUAAAGCACUUUAAGCGAGGAGGAGGCUACUUAGAUUAAUACUCUAGGAUAGUGGACGUUACUCGCAGAAUAAGCACCGGCUAACUCUGUGCCAGCAGCCGCGGUAAUACAGAGGGUGCGAGCGUUAAUCGGAUUUACUGGGCGUAAAGCGUGCGUAGGCGGCUUCUUAAGUCGGAUGUGAAAUCCCUGAGCUUAACUUAGGAAUUGCAUUCGAUACUGGGAAGCUAGAGUAUGGGAGAGGAUGGUAGAAUUCCAGGUGUAGCGGUGAAAUGCGUANAGAUCUGGAGGAAUACCGAUGGCGAAGGCAGCCAUCUGGCCUAAUACUGACGCUGAGGUACGAAAGCAUGGGGAGCAAACAGGAUUAGAUACCCUGGUAGUCCAUGCCGUAAACGAUGUCUACUAGCCGUUGGGGCCUUUGAGGCUUUAGUGGCGCAGCUAACGCGAUAAGUAGACCGCCUGGGGAGUACGGUCGCAAGACUAAAACUCAAAUGAAUUGACGGGGGCCCGCACAAGCGGUGGAGCAUGUGGUUUAAUUCGAUGCAACGCGAAGAACCUUACCUGGUCUUGACAUAGUAAGAACUUUCCAGAGAUGGAUUGGUGCCUUCGGGAACUUACAUACAGGUGCUGCAUGGCUGUCGUCAGCUCGUGUCGUGAGAUGUUGGGUUAAGUCCCGCAACGAGCGCAACCCUUUUCCUUAUUUGCCAGCGGGUUAAGCCGGGAACUUUAAGGAUACUGCCAGUGACAAACUGGAGGAAGGCGGGGACGACGUCAAGUCAUCAUGGCCCUUACGACCAGGGCUACACACGUGCUACAAUGGUCGGUACAAAGGGUUGCUACCUAGCGAUAGGAUGCUAAUCUCAAAAAGCCGAUCGUAGUCCGGAUUGGAGUCUGCAACUCGACUACAUGAAGUCG